CUCGCGAAACAAUAAGCAAAGGCGUUUAUUUACAAACACCGCCUUGUGCGGACGCUCAGCAAAAGCGCCAAGCUCUCGCUGCCCGUACCGUGUCUCCCGGCCUGUGUUUGCUGGGACAGAGCUCCCUGUCACCGCCGGAGUUGCCUCAUUUACUGCCGUGCAAGAUAGGGCAGGCUCUGUCUGGCAGUCCCACUGACGUAGCAGAAGAGAGAGACGCCUGAAUCGCCAGGGAAGCUGAGAUGUUUUCUCACAGCUCCAUUUAUUCCUUUUGUCCGCUCCACUUAAGAACUAGACGACUAAACUUGUGAGCGUUCAAAUUUUUUGAUCACGUUCGCCGACGCUCUUUUGGAUAAAAGAAAGGUUGCAGAUUUUACAAAAGUGACAUGCACUCCCGUUUGCUAAAAAUCACCUGGCAGCUCAACUGGAUACAGCAGUCUCCAUUUCCUGUCCUCGCUCCGGAAUCCUUGCUGCUAGGGCCUGGCUUUUCUUCCACUGAAGGAGAUGGGAGCUUUGCCAUGGACUGCAGUGGCAGCAGGAGGAGAGCAGACACAGAUUAGGCAAGGUGUUGGAGGAUUUUCUGCAUGCUCUGUAAGUAUUUAGGGAACCGUGUGAUACGUGAUCCUAAAGACGAGGUUAGGCAGUUUGAACUCUUGAGUUAAACCCAGAUAUUUCCAGACAGGCAGAGCUACCUACUGACUGUACAUUUGAGAAAGUACAUCUGAAUUAUUUCUUCUGGCAAGUAUCAAGAGUAUGUUAGUGAAAUGUGCCUGGAUAUGGUAGCUUAAGAUAGAACUAUGCUGGAAAUGUUCCUGCAGCUGCUACUUGGAAAACAUCUGUGGUACUGUGCACGGAAAUUUGUACAUCUCUGUUCACACUAGCGCAGAGCAAUUAAUCUUGGGAAACAAAGUAUACAUUAUUAUUGGGAAAUAUGAGAAGGACAUUAUGCACCAACGGACAUGAAAUGACUAAAGGUAGUUAUCGUUUGGAAAGAAAGGAAAAAAAAUGGAGUAUUCCAUUUCUGGCACAGGAAAUAGAGUAAGAUCGGCAGGCUCGGCAAGACUUCUAGAACUCCAACUGCUAGUUAUUUGAGUAAGAAUAACCAAUCCACUAGACUUGAGGGGUAAAAUUUUUUACACUUACAGUUGCAAAAAACCUUUCAUCUGUGAUAAUUUGUGACAGUCUGUGUUUGUAUAGUCUGAUAAAGGGAAGAAUAUACAGGUUGACAUGAUUUCUUAUUUACGGUUAAUGGUUAUCCCUAUGCAAAGUAUAAAAGACGUUGCCCUGAAGAACUCAAUUUUAGCAAAUGACAUACAAGAACGUAAACUUAAAAAGGUUAAGAAACCCUGGGAAAGGACAAUGAGAUGUAUUUUGUUCACAGCACAUCAGAUAAUUAAGGGAUUUUUCAUUUCUUGAGGCUUUCAAAUUAAGCCUGGGUCAUUGGAAGGUGUGCUUACUGAAAUGUAAUGGCCUGUUGUGUUCAAGAACUUGGACUGGAUAAUCUGAAAAGCGAGUGUGUAAGGAAUUGAGAAUGUCUUUGGUAACACAGCAGAGAGCAGCACGGUGAGAAAUGAGGGGGGAUAUCUGACUGGCGGCCAGAAAUUUGUCACUGACUGCUACUGAGGCAGGGUGUCUGCUAAGAGCCGAUGAGGCGUAAGUUGCGAUGUGUGACCCAUCAUGUCAUCUCCCGAUAGCCAUAUAUGAGCUCUGUGGUACAGAACAUCGAUACUUUGCUAUUUUACCUAUUUUCUCUCAUGAUACCUGCAUUGCAUGAAUGAAAAACAG